AAGCUUGCUUCUCUUGAGAGCGGCGGACGGGUGAGUAAUGCCUAGGAAUCUGCCUGGUAGUGGGGGAUAACGUUCGGAAACGGACGCUAAUACCGCAUACGUCCUACGGGAGAAAGCAGGGGACCUUCGGGCCUUGCGCUAUCAGAUGAGCCUAGGUCGGAUUAGCUAGUUGGUGGGGUAAUGGCUCACCAAGGCGACGAUCCGUAACUGGUCUGAGAGGAUGAUCAGUCACACUGGAACUGAGACACGGUCCAGACUCCUACGGGAGGCAGCAGUGGGGAAUAUUGGACAAUGGGCGAAAGCCUGAUCCAGCCAUGCCGCGUGUGUGAAGAAGGUCUUCGGAUUGUAAAGCACUUUAAGUUGGGAGGAAGGGCAGUUACCUAAUACGUGAUUGUUUUGACGUUACCGACAGAAUAAGCACCGGCUAACUCUGUGCCAGCAGCCGCGGUAAUACAGAGGGUGCAAGCGUU
rnacentral:rRNA from 1 species